rnacentral:rRNA from 1 species
GACGAACGCUGGCGGCGUGCCUAAUACAUGCAAGUAGAACGCACAGUUUAUACCGUAGCUUGCUACACCAUAGACUGUGAGUUGCGAACGGGUGAGUAACGCGUAGGUAACCUGCCUGGUAGCGGGGGGUAACUAUUGGAAACGAUAGCUAAUACCGCAUAAUAUUGAUUAUUGCAUGAUAAUUGAUUGAAAGAUGCUAUUGCAUCACUACCAGAUGGACCUGCGUUGUAUUAGCUAGUAGGUGAGGUAACGGCUCACCUAGGCGACGAUACAUAGCCGACCUGAGAGGGUGAUCGGCCACACUGGGACUGAGACACGGCCCAGACUCCUACGGGAGGCAGCAGUAGGGAAUCUUCGGCAAUGGACGAAAGUCUGACCGAGCAACGCCGCGUGAGUGAAGAAGGGUUUCGGAUCGUAAAGCUCUGUUGUAAGAGAAGAACGGGUGUGAGAGUGGAAAGUUCACACUGUGACGGUAGCUUACCAGAAAGGGACGGCUAACUACGUG